rnacentral:rRNA from 1 species
GGUAACAAGGUCUCCGUAGGUGAACCUGCGGAGGGAUCAUUACACAAAUAUGAAGGCGGGCUGGAACCUCUCGGGGUUACAGCCUUGCUGAAUUAUUCACCCUUGUCUUUUGCGUACUUCUUGUUUCCUUGGUGGGUUCGCCCACCACUAGGACAAACAUAAACCUUUUGUAAUUGCAAUCAGCGUCAGUAACAAAUUAAUAAUUACAACUUUCAACAACGGAUCUCUUGGUUCUGGCAUCGAUGAAGAACGCAGCGAAAUGCGAUAAGUAGUGUGAAUUGCAGAAUUCAGUGAAUCAUCGAAUCUUUGAACGCACAUUGCGCCCUUUGGUAUUCCAAAGGGCAUGCCUGUUCGAGCGUCAUUUGUACCCUCAAGCUUUGCUUGGUGUUGGGCGUCUUGUCUCUAGCUUUGCUGGAGACUCGCCUUAAAGUAAUUGGCAGCCGGCCUACUGGUUUCGGAGCGCAGCACAAGUCGCACUCUCUAUCAGCAAAGGUCUAGCAUCCACUAAGCCUUUUUUCAACUUUGACCUCGAUCAGUAGGUGCCACUCC